AGCUUGGUGACCACCUGUCAGUGUCACAGAUGGAAGAUGUUUUAUCAAAGGUCUUCAGACAACGAGGGCUUCCACCACAGUUUUCUCUGAAAGUUCGUUCUGUUAAACCAGGAACCCAGUGAAGGACAGUCGAGUCUGAAAUCAGUUGUUUUGGUUUUUCUUUUCUUUCAGUGAAAUAUUAAGAAAUAAUAGUGUAUGCCUCAGUAGCUAAAAGUAGAUCGUGUCCCAGUGCAUUGUGGGAUGUAGCCCUAGACAAGUAAGAAUGUAUUUUGCAUGAGUGCCUAUGGGUCUGAGUCGCUCUGCUCAUCUUAAAGUCUGCAACCACAUGAAACAGCUGGAAAGGGCAACAGAUCAAGCUAAAGACAGACAAAGCAAAGUGGUGGCAAAUUAUAUGUGGAAGAGUAGAUUAUUACAGUGGGGAGUAGCAACAAAUAUGGGAUGCGUGUAUUUUUGUUCCAUACCAUGUUGCUGGUGGGAAAGGUCCCACAUUUGAGAACGAAGAGCUGAUAGUAGCAAUGCUCCCAGAUGUGGAUUUAUCCAGGAGGCAGCGGUGAAAAUGAAGGAGUCUCAGCUAAACAGCAUCCAAACGUGGAUGAAAAAGGCUUUUGACCAGCAGUGGGUGGUAUGUAACAAGGUGACAAUAAUGCACCUAUGAGUAAAAAAUGUUUAGUUCGAGAAAAUGCCACAGCACUGUGAGCAAUGAGUAACUGUUUUAAAAUAAAAGUUAGAAUUUUGA